AUCGAGUCUACUAUGCUUAGCGCUUCCGUGGCACACAAGUGCACCUCUUUUUUUGCAUCACGACCUAAGUAAAGAAGCUUGACUUCCUGGAAACGAGAACAUAAACCCUUCAUCUCACUAAUGAUCCGAGCUGCAGCUUCAAGGCCUUCCCUGCAAGCCAGGAUUUUGCUGAUGAAGGGAUCAUCAACAUGGCUGUGUCUCCUACAUCCUGCCUCAACAAGCUCACCAUAGUUGUUGCGGAUAAUGUAGCCUGGCCCAGCUACACUUGAUUGAGAAAUUAUUGCUAUGCACGCCUACAUGGAGUACCUGCAAUGGCCGUCAUCAAGGACACGUCUAUGCUCUUCUACAACAACGCCUUUAUGCGUGUCCUCGGCUUCUCUAGCCCUGGCAUCGGCUAGUGUUGCAAUGGCUAGGAAGGAGGUGGCUACUAUUUUCCAAGAUGGCUGGGAGGAGCAGCUUUAGGGAGCUGACCCAUUUUUUAUACGACAACAGCUACAUCGGAGAUGGAGUAAUGGCAUGACCAUUCUGCUUUUUGUUUGGCUGCACAACUGGCUCGAAGGGGCUGCCAGAAUGUUGUUGGCAAGAUCCAGGAGCUGGCAAGCUGAAGAGGUUUAGUGAACUCCAGCAUUGACGAAACCCCAUCUAUAAUGCCACUUACUGCUCUGGCUCCGCUGGUUGGGUCCUCAUGUGCCUCGUGUGUGGUUGUAGUCCUGGCCAGCCCUCUGCCUUUAGCAGCGGCGAUGAUGAAACCUGAAUGGUGCAAGAGAAUAAUUGUACUGUAGAUGAUUUAUUUUUGCAUCGUGGUGGCGAGUACAUGGCUUGGAUGCAGAAGGAAGGCAAUGAGCAG